GAGUGAGUCAGACACGAGGCAGAUUUGUACUACGACCGAGUCUUGUUUCUGGCUUCAAGGAAGACGGACGCGUCGCCGCAACCCUAGAGGCGGCAUCCCCCGCGUGACGCCCUUUCAGGCACCGUCGUGACCGGAUUCCUUGUCU
rnacentral:sRNA from 1 species